rnacentral:rRNA from 1 species
GAUGAACGCUAGCGGCAGGCCUAACACAUGCAAGUCGAGGGGUAACUAGGGUGAUAGCAAUAUUACUUUGGCUAGACCGGCGCACGGGUGCGUAACACGUAUGCAACCUACCUUAUACUGGGGAAUAACUUCGAGAAAUCGGCGCUAAUACCCCAUAACAUUGCGAAGAGGCAUCUCUUUGCAAUUAAAGCUCCGGCGGUAUAAGAUGGGCAUGCGUCCAAUUAGCUAGUUGGUGAGGUAACGGCUCACCAAGGCUACGAUUGGUAGGGGUUCUGAGAGGAUGGUCCCCCACACUGGUACUGAGACACGGACCAGACUCCUACGGGAGGAAGCAGUGAGGAAUAUUGCGCAAUGGACGAAAGUCUGACGCAGCCAUGCCGCGUGCAGGAUGACGGCCCUAUGGGUUGUAAACUGCUUUUGUACGGGAAUAAACCCUUCUACGUGUAGGAGGCUGAAGGUACCGUAAGAAUAAGCACCGGCUAACUCCGUGCCAGCAGCCGCAGUAAGAC